rnacentral:rRNA from 1 species
AUCAGAGGGGGAUAACACUUGGAAACAGGUGCUAAUACCGCAUAACAGUUUAUGCCGCAUGGCAUAAGAGUGAAAGGCGCUUUCGGGUGUCGCUGAUGGAUGGACCCGCGGUGCAUUAGCUAGUUGGUGAGGUAACGGCUCACCAAGGCCACGAUGCAUAGCCGACCUGAGAGGGUGAUCGGCCACCACUGGGACUGAGACACGGCCCAGACUCCUACGGGAGGCAGCAUG